rnacentral:rRNA from 1 species
AACGAACGCUGGCGGCAUGCCUAACACAUGCAAGUCGAACGAGACCUUCGGGUCUAGUGGCGCACGGGUGCGUAACGCGUGGGAACCUGCCCUUAGGUUCGGAAUAACUCCCCGAAAGGGGUGCUAAUACCGGUUAAUGUCUUCGGACCAAAGAGUUAUCGCCUUUGGAUGGGCCCGCGUUGGAUUAGCUAGUUGGUAGGGUAAAAGCCUACCAAGGCGACGAUCCAUAGCUGGUCUGAGAGGAUGAUCAGCCACACUGGGACUGAGACACGGCCCAGACUCCUACGGGAGGCAGCAGUGGGGAAUAUUGGACAAUGGGCGAAAGCCUGAUCCAGCAAUGCCGCGUGAGUGAUGAAGGCCUUAGGGUUGUAAAGCUCUUUUACCCGGGAUGAUAAUGACAGUACCGGGAGAAUAAGCUCCGGCUAACUCCGUG